UACAGAGGUCUCAAGCGUUGUUCGGAUUCAUUGGGCGUAAAGGGUGCGUAGGUGGCGGGGUAAGUCAGGUGUGAAAUCUCGGGGCUCAACCCCGAAACUGCACUUGAUACUGCCUUGCUAGAGUACUGGAGAGGAGAUUGGAAUUUACGGUGUAGCAGUGAAAUGCGUAGAUAUCGUAAGGAAGACCAGUGGCGAAGGCGAAUCUCUGGACAGUUACUGACACUGAGGCACGAAGGCCAGGGGAGGCAAACCGGGG
rnacentral:rRNA from 1 species